CUGAUUAAGUUGCCUCAGCUAGGGAGGAGCUAGAAUCUUGCCAAAAGGUUUUCAAGGCUGAUAGGCAUUUAAAAGUGAAAGCAGAGUAGAGUCUGCUUGGGAUUCAUGAGCGGAGCUAUGAAGAUGAAAGAAAUAAGACAUAGAAAAAUGAAGGAAGUUCCCUGGCAUUGCACACUUGGUAUAGAUGAUGACACUAAGAUUUAAACUCUGACUCCAGAAUUCUUAUCUCCAUGAUUCUAUUCUGUCUCACCAGUAGAUUGACAGAUGUCAGUCUUGCUCCAUAUGCUUCCAUGUUAAGAGCUGAGCAUACCAGGACAUUGAAAAGAAAGAUUAUUUCACACAGUAUCAUAUCACCUACUUACUCUUAACACAGAAACUGUCCUUUGGGGCCCAAAGACAAAUGGAAUUGCUUAGCCUGAAGAUGGUUGCUUUCACAGACUGAUGAAAACCAUAAAAGCUAAGAUACAAAAUGUGACCUGUGCCUUUGAUCCAGAUACCAUUCUUUACUGGGAAGAACAGGAAAAGAGCUGUGGAUUUCUGAGAAUGGGCGCUGCAGUAUCUCCUUUGUCUCUGCCUCGUAUUGCCCUCCUCUCAAUGAGAAGGGUUAGAUGGCAAAGCUUCUCAGCUUAGUCACAAAGAGUCUCUAUAAAACCAGUCCUUCAUUUUUUAAGCUCAAAAUCAAUGGAAGAAAUCACAUGAAGAUCAAUACUUUCAACUCCAUAAAAAUUAAAAACAACUCUAUGUCAAAAUUUCAUACAACCCAAAUUAAAGGCAAACAGUAAACAGAGAAAAAUAUUUGCUACAGUUAUGAGGGUGAAAUCCAAUUUGGGUCAGUUCAACACAUGUCUGCUGUGCACCCUCAGGUAAUGAGAAUUGUUAAGUAUUGUCAAGGGUGGAGAUCUGACAACCUCAGGAGACACUUUUCUUAGAGUUCUGCUGAGGGCAGGGGACAGACCUGCCUAAUGAGAUGGGUGUGCACAGUGUAGAAGUAUCCCAGAAGAGAGACAAGACUUGAGGCUGUGAUAGGAUCUGAAUCUGAACUGUCCCCUGCAGUUUCUUAUUUGAAAUGAUUAUUCCCAGCCAGGAGCACUAUUUUGAAACCACAUGGAACCUUUAGGGACCAGCAGAAGUUGGGCAUCACGGGCAGGACUUUGAGGGCUGUAGACCAACCCUUGUUCCCAAGGGUUCAUUCUGCUUUCUGGUGUGUCAUGAUGUGAACAGCCUUCCGUGCUUCAAAAUACAGAAACCCUUAAAAAUAUUAGUCAAAGUAUUUUCUCCAUGUGCUAUUUACUUUUUCUCAACUUGACACACACUGGGGUCUUCAGGGAGGAGGGAGCCUCAACUGAGCAAGUGUCUCCAUCAGAUUGACUUGUGGGCAAGUCUGUAGGGACAUUUUCUUGAUUGAUGUAGAAGGACCCAGCCCACUCUGAGUGGUGCUACCCCUGGGCAGGUGGUCCUGGGAUGUAUAAAAGGGGUAUCUAAACAUGAUCCUGAAGAGAAAGUUAAUAAUCAAAAUUUCCCCAUUGGCCUCUGCUUCAGUUCCUGCCUCCAGGAUCUUGCCUUGACUUCCUGCCCUGACUUCCCUUCAUGCUGGACUGCGGCUGGCGUAAAGCUUACACAUGGCGGUGGGGCUCAAGGAGGAGCCAGAAAAGGAAGACAGGAGGACUCCAGGGGCCAGCCACCCAGUUACACAGCAAGCUACGGAAUAAGAAGUAAAAAAAGCAAUCCCCCUAAUUUCUGCCUCACAUCUUCCAUAGCAGAUGUAACUCACAGAGCAGUGGUGUGGAGUCAUGGAGGCGGCAGCUCUGCCCUCCUGAUGCUGAUGGGAAUGGUUCUGCUGUUUCACCAUGAAGGAAGAUAUAGGCUCUCCAUACGAGGUGCUUCAUGUUGAGUAGCCUCCUGUAUCUGUCACCUGCCUCGUUGCUGUGACAAAACAUCUGAUGACAAGCAAACUCAAGAGCAAGUUUUUCCUGGGGGGAAAGAAUGGCAGCAGGCACUUGGGCAGCUGGUCACGUUGCACCUGCAGUCCGGAAGCAGGAAGACAUGUACAGUGAUGUUCAGCUCGCUUUCCAUAUUUUAUUUGUUCCAGGAUCCUCAUACUCACAAAGUUAGUGCAGGACACCAGAACCUAAUGGUACUCAUAAGGUGUCAUGUUCCUUUAGCUAGCCUAAUGAGAUGUGACAGCAACUGGGCUUAUAUUUCUUCUAGAACUUAGUCCUUGAAAAGAUGCUGUCAUAGUUAGAGUAGCUUCCUGCCACAAUUCACCUAAUCUAGAAAUGCUUGACAAGCAUGCCCAGAGGUUUGUCUCCCAGGUGAUGCUAGACCCUGUCAAGCUGAAAACCAAUAUUAGCCAUAACACUCCCAUCCCUAUUUUUCUCUGGAUUGCUUUUUUUCAAUUGUGCAUGAAUAUUGUAUUUUAUCUGAAUGCUUUUUGUCAACCAUUGUUAAUUAUCAUGUGGGUUUUCAUAUUGAAAAGCUGUCAGUAUAUUAAUAGACUUUUUUUUCUAACACUAAUCUGUCCUUGCUUCUCUAGAAUAAAACUGGUUUAACUGUGA